UGACUACCAUAGCAACAUCCACAAUAUUCUAAAAAUAGCAAAUGCAGCAGGCGACUUAGCUAGUUCAUUAGCUAAAUAGGCCAUUGGUUGUGGGUUUUUGGAAAGAGCACAUCUUUUUAAGUUGUGGCUUGGAAAACAGCUCAGACUGUUAUGAGCGUUGCAGUUUGAUGUAACUACAAUGUAGUAACAUUGCCCCAAUUCCAUAAGCUGGGUCUCUGAAAAAAGGUAAAUUAACACAUCGAGGACCAGGCAAAGAUGACAGCAUCAUCACAGCAAUAUGUUUCUUAUCUCUACGAGAGGCUCUAUGCCAAGUUGUCUGAUGACAGCUUCCAUGACAAUUGGAGCAUUGUUGGCUUUGUCAUCAUAUUCCUCUUCUGCUGUCUGAUGAUCACCUUGUUCAUGACUGUCUUGUUUACCUCAUGUUGUGGCCGGUAUUUUGAGAGUCCACCAAUCAAAAUGAACAGAGUGGGUGCAUUGCCUGCUACACCUUCGGAGCCCACUUUUCUAGCUCUAGGUGAAUCACAUAUUAAAGUGUACAGUGCUCCAUCGACUGCCAUGGAUAAGCCAGCCCAUGUCAAGGAGUCAGGCAGUCAGAAGAAAGUGGCAAACCCGGCCCCACAACCACCCGCAAAGAGUGUGGACAAACCAAAGAAAUCAAAACAUAAGAACAAGGGUCCUAAGAAAGUCAAGUCUCAAAGCCAAAGCAAGAAACAACUGAAGGAAACACAUUGAUCAAUGUGGAUGAAAUUUAGGUUAAUUUUAGCUGUACACCUGCAAGUUCUGUCACCAUGUUUCCUAUUGAAAUAAAGAACAUUCAUAAUAUGCCAUAA